AAGUCGUAACAAGGUUUCCGUAGGUGAACCUGCGGAAGGAUCAUUACAAAUCCAUCACGUCUCAUACCCGAGACACCGUCUAAAUGUUCCGGGAUCGAGCCGCCUAAUGGCAUCUUCGAGGACGGGCCGCUAUCUCCCUACCCGGGAGAGAGGGUCAAUUGUCGUUGCGUGCCUGGUUCGACACCCACCCCCCUUUAAAAACCUAGUGUGACUGUUGCUUCAUAUGUAUUGUUUCUUUGUUGAACACAACACGAAAACAACUUAUAACAAUGGAUCUCUAGGCUCUU
rnacentral:misc_RNA from 1 species